rnacentral:rRNA from 1 species
GACGAACGCUGGCGGCGUGCCUAAUACAUGCAAGUCGAGCGAAUGACGAGAAGCUUGCUUCUCUGAUUUAGCGGCGGACGGGUGAGUAACACGUGGGCAACCUGCCCUACAGAUCGGGAUAACUCAGGGAAACCUGGGCUAAUACCGGAUAAUCCUUCGAAUCACAUGUUUUGAAGUUGAAAGGCGCUUCGGCGUCACUGUAGGAUGGGCCCGCGGUGCAUUAGCUAGUUGGUGGGGUAACGGCCUACCAAGUCAACGAGGCAUAGCCGACCUGAGAGGGUGAUCGACCACAUGGGGACUGAGACACGGCCCAAACUCCUACGGGAGGCAGCAGUAGGGAAUCUUCCACAAUGGACGAAAGUCUGAUGGAGCAACGCCGCGUGAGUGAUGAAGGUUUUCGGAUCGUAAAACUCUGUUGUAAGGGAAGAACAAGUACGUUAGGAAAUGAACGUACCUUGACGGUACCUUAUUAGAAAGCCACGGCUAACUACGUGCCAGCAGCCGCCGUAAAAC